rnacentral:rRNA from 1 species
GUGAACGCUGGCGGUAGGCCUAACCCCUGCAAGUCGAACGGCAGCACAGUAAGAGCUUGCUCUUACGGGUGGCGAGUGGCGGACGGGUGAGGAAUACAUCGGAAUCUACUUUUUCGUGGGGGAUAACGUAGGGAAACUUACGCUAAUACCGCAUACGACCUACGGGUGAAAGCAGGGGAUCUUCGGACCUUGCGCGAUUGAAUGAGCCGAUGUCGGAUUAGCUAGUUGGCGGGGUAAAGGCCCACCAAGGCGACGAUCCGUAGCUGGUCUGAGAGGAUGAUCAGCCACACUGGAACUGAGACACGGCCCAGACUCCUACGGGAGGCAGCAGUGGGGAAUAUUGGACAAUGGGCGCAAGCCUGAUCCAGCCAUACCGCGUGGGUGAAGAAGGCCUUCGGGUUGUAAAGCCCUUUUGUUGGGAAAGAAAAGCAGCAGGUUAAUACCCCGCUGUUCUGACGGUACCCAAAGAAUAAGCACCGGCUAACUUCGUG